GGGCCCGUAGCUCAGCGGUUAGAGCAGGGGACUCAUAAUCCUUUGGUCGUAGGUUCGAAUCCUACCGGGCCCA
rnacentral:tRNA from 1 species